rnacentral:rRNA from 1 species
UACGGAGGGUGCAAGCGUUGUCCGGAUUUAUGGGGUUUAAAGGGUGCGUAGGCGGCUUUUUAAGUCAGUGGUGAAAGACAACAGCUCAACUGUUGCAGUGCCAUUGAUACUGAAGAGCUUGAGUACAGAUGAGGUAGGCGGAAUUUAUGGUGUAGCGGUGAAAUGCAUAGAUACCAUAAAGAACACCUAUUGCGAAGGCAGCUUACUAAGCUGUAACUGACGCUGAGGCACGAAAGUGUGGGGAUCAAACAGG